rnacentral:lncRNA from 1 species
UGUCCCAGAACAUCUCCAGGGGGUUUGGGGUGUCCCAGAACAUCUCCAGGGGGUUUUGGGGUGUCCCAGAACAUCUCCAGAGGGUUUGGGGGUGUCCCAGAACAUCUCCAGAGGGUUUGGGGUGUCCUAAAACAUCUCCAGGGGGUUUGGGGUGUCCCAAAACAUCUCCAGGGGGUUGGGGGUGUCCUAAAACAUCUCCAGAGGGUUUUGAGGUGUCCCAGAGCAUCUCCAGAGGGUUUUGAGGUGUCCCAGAACAUCUCCAGAGGGUUUUGAGGUGUCCCAGAACAUCUCCAGGGGGUUUGGGGGUCUCACAUUGGUGGGUCCUGGGUGAUCUGAGAAGGUUCCAAGACUUUGGGGUGUCCAGGGUGGCAUUUGUCCCCAUUUGUCCCUGUUUGUCCCUGUUUGUCCCCGUUUGUCCCCAAGGGAUGGAGGUGGCCCCAUGGACAACAUCUCCAGAGGGUUUGGGGGAUGUCCCAAAACAUCUCCAGAGGGUUUGGGGGUGUCCCAGAACAUCUCCAGGGGGUUUGGGGUGUCCCAGAACAUCUCCAGAUGGUUUUGGGGUGUCUCACUUUGUUGGGUUCUGGGUGACCUGAGAGGGUUCCAAGAGUUUGGGAUGUCCAGGGUGGCUUUGUCCCCAUUUGUCCCUGUUUGUCCCCAGGGGAUGGAGGUGGUCCCAUGGAUGACAUCUCCAGAGGGUUUGGGGUGUCCCAAAACAUCUCCAGAGGGUUUGGGGUGUCCCAGAACAUCUCCAGGGGGUUUGGGGGUGUCCCAGAACAUCUCCAGAGGGUUUGGGGGUGUCCUAAAACAUCUCCAGGGGGUUUGGGGGUGUCCCAGAACAUCUCCAGAGGGUUUUGGGGUGUCUCACUUUGGUGGGUUCUGGGUGACUUCAGAGGGUUCCAAGAGUUUGGGGUGUCCAGGGUGGCUUUGUCCCCAUUUGUCCCUGUUUGUCCCCAAGGGAUGGAGGUGGUCCCAUGGAUGACAUCUCCAGAGGGUUUGGGGUGUCCCAGAAUAUCUCCAGGAGGUUUGGGGUGUCCCAGAAGAUCUCCAGAGGGUUUGGGGGUGUCCCAGAAUAUCUCCAGUGGUUUUGGGGUGUCUCACUUUGGUGGGUCCUGGGUGACCUAAUAG